rnacentral:lncRNA from 1 species
AUAUAGUGUAGUGUCACAUUUGAAAGCAUUGGUUAAAGUAUCGGCAAAUGAAGAGUCACGACACAUAUACCAAGCGUCGGUAAAAUAUAUUCUGACACUUUAAAGUGUCAGGAUAUUUUAAAAUUCUGACGCUUUAAAGUAUCGAAAAAUUAAAAAGAAUAGUUAAGUUUAUGAUUUAAUAUAUUGGUUUGAUACAUAUAGGAUUCAUAUGUUGAUGCUUUCUGAAACAUCAGUAUUUGCUAUAUUGUAGGGACGCUUGCUGCAAGCAUCAUCUUAAAAACGUGCUUAU